AUACUUUAAUGAACAGAAAGUGACCUUUUUGUUACAUCAUAACCGAUUCAUAGGGACACAUCAAACACCCAGAGCUCAAAAGCAUGCCAACUUCUAGUCCACUCUUCAUUUUUGAGAUUACAUGAUCAAACGAUUACUGAUAUCUCCAUAGUUAUGAACUGCCUAUAUACAAAUGACUCCGGAGGCGAAGCUCAUCUUCAUUACUCAUCAUCUGUGCAUCUCCUGUGAUGACAUGGCAGGACUGAAACCAGCUAAGGCUUCAUUUUUCCAGAAUCCACAUGAUGGAAGUUAG
rnacentral:lncRNA from 1 species